UUGUGCCGGGAAACACCACAGAAGGCCUCGUGUGAGCCAGGCUGCCAGAUCAAGAACCCCUGGGAAGAUAGAACUGAUGUAGCCAUCUCAAUCCAUCCCAUAAAAAACACCUUCUCCUUGCUUGUGACUUGGAUUGCCUGUAAAAGAAAAGGUAAUGCCAGCAAAACAAGGUAGCCAUUUCC